UUAAAUUGAAGAGUUUGAUCAUGGCUCAGAUUGAACGCUGGCGGCAGGCCUAACACAUGCAAGUCGAACGGUAACAGGAAGCAGCUUGCUGCUUCGCUGACGAGUGGCGGACGGGUGAGUAAUGUCUGGGAAACUGCCUGAUGGAGGGGGAUAACUACUGGAAACGGUAGCUAAUACCGCAUAACGUCGCAAGACCAAAGAGGGGGACCUUCGGGCCUCUUGCCAUCGGAUGUGCCCAGAUGGGAUUAGCUUGUUGGUGGGGUAACGGCUCACCAAGGCGACGAUCCCUAGCUGGUCUGAGAGGAUGACCAGCCACACUGGAACUGAGACACGGUCCAGACUCCUACGGGAGGCAGC
rnacentral:rRNA from 1 species